rnacentral:lncRNA from 1 species
ACGAAGUGCGGGUGCAGCCAGCGCUGCUGGCAGCAGGCGUUGUCAAAGAUGUUGGCAGCAGAUGCAUCAUUCGCCGGCAACAGGUGGUGUUGAUGACGCUGGCGGCGGAUGGCGGUGACGUUCUAGCAGCAGGGUACGUCCAAGGUGCUGUCAGCAGAUGGGUGGACUUCAGGUUGGAGAAGAAAUUGCAAAGAAAAGAU